rnacentral:rRNA from 1 species
UGAGGAAUAUUGGACAAUGGGCGAAAGCCUGAUCCAGCCAUGCCGCGUGUGUGAAGAAGGUCUUCGGAUUGUAAAGCACUUUAAGUUGGGAGGAAGGGCAGUUACCUAAUACGUGAUUGUUUUGACGUUACCGACAGAAUAAGCACCGGCUAACUCUGUGCCAGCAGCCGCGGUAAUACAGAGGGUGCAAGCGUUAAUCGGAAUUACUGGGCGUAAAGCGCGCGUAGGUGGUUAGUUAAGUUGGAUGUGAAAUCCCCGGGCUCAACCUGGGAACUGCAUUCAAAACUGACUGACUAGAGUAUGGUAGAGGGUGGUGGAAUUUCCUGUGUAGCGGUGAAAUGCGUAGAUAUAGGAAGGAACACCAGUGGCGAAGGCGACCACCUGGACUGAUACUGACACUGAGGUGCGAAAGCGUGGGGAGCAAACAGGAUUAGAUACCCCCGUAGUCCCUGAGCGGGCUGGCAAGGCGCAU